CCAACAUGUUAAGCCUUCUACUGGUCAGUUAUAUAAUCUUCGAAUGCUGCUAAUCAAUUUUGUAAAGGACCAUAAAUUCUAUAAGGACAUAUAACCUUGCAGUUAAGAACAACAUACAUAGUCUAUACAUAGAUGGAAUAUGUGAAACUAAGAGAUGAUGAGUGGAAAAUAUGCCAUGAAGGUAGUAGCAUCACUUUGGAUACACCCAAUCAAUUACGUAUUUUAUUUUUCGAAUUAGUUCAAUGUAAAGUUACAAUAGAAAGUAUGGUGAUCAAUGAUCAUAUAUAUUAGAUUUUACGAAAUACAUGGAGUUCUAGAAAAAUAAGAUUUUUGUGAUUAUAAUUUAUUAUUUUAUGAAAAGUUAACAUGUAAACAGUAAUGUGUUUUUAACUUUAUUGAUUUCAUUUUAUACAGUAUAUUUUUUAUUUCAUGGCGAUAUUUGCUGAUAUAAAUUUCAUUAAAAUAUGUUUAUAUGUUCAAUUCUCAAUAAAAUCCAACAACUCAUCAUACAACCGUGUUUAUUCAUUAAAUUCUUCGUAUGACUAUAUUCUAUCUUCUCAACCUAGAUCUCCUCCGCGUGAAUAGUGUCUCCGGUCGACGGAGUAGGGUCCCACAGCCACUGUCGGUCCGGAGAUGGAGGCUACUACAGCUCCGUCGUCGCCAGCUUAUGACCCCAGGGGUGGAGGCUUUCUAUGCUCUGCGUUGCCGGCUCUCGACUACAGCCAUGUCGUCUUUUAUUCGAUUGAAGACGAAGGUGUUUGCCUCUCUGAAACUUGGCUUUAUUGGCGAUUGUGGGAUGUUUCUGUACUUUGGAUUCGUUGGUUUGGAAGUAGCGGAUGAGAUCUCGUCGAUGGACGAUUGAAGAUCUCUGUGGGAUGGUGAUUUGGAUCUGAGUGAUGCUUCUUCUUUUGUGUUUGUGGUGUACUGUGUUGGAUGAGAUCUCGAAUAGUCGAUGGAUGCUCUCCGAUACUUGGAACACAAAAAAUGAAGGGCAAGCUUUGAAGAUGGUGGUUCGAUGAUAGUGACCCUGUUCACGGCAGGUAUUCUGGUGACUACGCUGGCGUCGAUGAAUCUCACCGGCGUAAAACUCGAGUCGGUGGAGAAAUGGAGGCGGCUUCCUUCCAGUCGACGCGUGUCGUUUCUCCCUUUCUUCUGUAUACGUGUGUUUCUUCAUGGGUUUUCGGUUGGGCCUUUGUUGGCUUUGUUCUUGUGUUUUAUGUGUGCCCGUUAGUGGAUUUAUGUGGUGCUUUAGUUGUUUGGACUAAUAAGGCCCUUUUUGUAUUUUGUAUUUUGUUUAAUAUAUACUAGAUCCUGACCCGCGCGCCAGCGCAGAUAUGAA